AUUGAACGCUGGCGGCAUGCCUAACACAUGCAAGUCGAACGGCAGCGCGGGGGCAACCCUGGCGGCGAGUGGCGGACGGGUGAGGAAUGCAUCGGAAUCUGCCCGGUUGUGGGGGAUAACUCACCGAAAGGUGAGCUAAUACCGCAUAAGACCGAGAGGUGAAAGCGGGGGACCUUCGGGCCUCGCGCGAUCGGAUGAGCCGAUGCCGGAUUAGCUAGUUGGUAGGGUAAAGGCCUACCAAGGCGACGAUCCGUAGCUGGUCUGAGAGGAUGAUCAGCCACACUGGGACUGAGAUACGGCCCAGACUCCUACGGGAGGCAGCAGUCGAGAGGCUUCGGCAAUGGGGGAAACCCUGACCGAGCGACGCCGCGUGGAGGAUGAAGGCCCUUGGGUUGUAAACUCCUUUUAUUCGGGAAGAAGUGCGAUCAGGUGAAUAAUCUGGUCGUUUGACGGUACCGGAUGAAUAAGCUCCGGCUAACUCCGUGCCAGCAGCCGCGGUAA
rnacentral:rRNA from 1 species